AAAGUCCCAGUUCGGAUUGUAGUCUGNAACCGACUACAUGAAGCUGGAAUCGCUAGUAAUCGCGGAUCAGAAUGCCGCGGUGAAUACGUUCCCGGGUCUUGUACACACCGCCCGUCACACCAUGGGAGUCGGAAAUGCCCGAAGUCUGUGACCCAACCUACGGGAGGGAGCAGCCGAAGGCAGGUCGGAUGACUGGGGUGAAGUCGUAACAAGGUAGC
rnacentral:rRNA from 1 species